rnacentral:rRNA from 1 species
AGAGUUUGAUCAUGGCUCAGAACGAACGUUGGCGGCGUGGAUUAGGCAUGCAAGUCGAACGAAUCCCUGGGGGCAACUCUGGGGGGAAGUGGCGAAAGGGGCAGUAAUGCGUGGCUAACCUACCCCGGGGACGGGGAUAGCCUUCCUAACGGAAGGGUAAUACCCGGCGAUGUGGCGAGGGGGCAUCUCCUUGCUAUGAAAUGAGUUUCGCCUCGGGAGGGGGUCACGUGCUAUUAGCUUGUUGGCGGGGUAACGGCCCACCAAGGCGAAGAUGGCUAGCGGGUGUGAGAGCACGACCCGCGCCACUGGCACUGAGACACUGGCCAGACUCCUACGGGAGGCUGCAGUCGAGGAUCUUCGGCAAUGGGCGCAAGCCUGACCGAGCGACGCCGCGUGCGCGAUGAAGGCCUUCGGGUUGUAAAGCGCUGUCGAGGGGGAGGAAAGCCGAAAGGUCUGACCUAUCCCUGGGGGAAGCACGGGCUAAGUUCGUGCCAGCAGCCGCGAUAAGACGAACCGUGCGAACGUUGUUCGGAUUCACUGGGCUUAAAGGGCGCGUAGGCGGCUUGCCAAGUCAGGGGUGAAAUCUUUCGGCUCAACCGGAAAACAGCUUCUGAUACUGGCGGGCUGGAGGGAGGUAGGGGCAGAUGGAACUUCCGGUGGAGCGGUGAAAUGCGUAGAUAUCGGAAGGAACGCCGGUGGCGAAAGCGAUCUGCUGGACCUCUUCUGACGCUGAUGCG